rnacentral:rRNA from 1 species
GAUGAACGCUGGCGGCGUGCUUAACACAUGCAAGUCGAACGAUGAAGCCCAGCUUGCUGGGUGGAUUAGUGGCGAACGGGUGAGUAACACGUGAGUAACCUGCCCUUGACUCUGGGAUAAGCCUGGGAAACUGGGUCUAAUACUGGAUAUGACUUCUCAUCGCAUGGUGGGGGGUGGAAAGAUUUAUUGGUCUUGGAUGGACUCGCGGCCUAUCAGCUUGUUGGUGAGGUAAUGGCUCACCAAGGCGACGGCGGGUAGCCGGCCUGAGAGGGUGACCGGCCACACUGGGACUGAGACACGGCCCAGACUCCUACGGGAGGCAGCAGUGGGGAAUAUUGCACAAUGGGCGCAAGCCUGAUGCAGCGACGCCGCGUGAGGGAUGACGGCCUUCGGGUUGUAAACCUCUUUCAGUAGGGAAGAAGCGAGAGUGACGGUACCUGCAGAAGAAGCGCCGGCUAACUACGUG